rnacentral:SRP_RNA from 1 species
GGAGGGGACCCACGCAAUGGGGCUUUGUGAACCUGGUCAGGCCGGAAGGAGCAGCCAUAAACAUCCGCUCUUUGUGCGUUGGAUCAGCCUCUCCCGU